rnacentral:rRNA from 1 species
AUUGAACGCUGGCGACAGGCCUAACACAUGCAAGUCGAACGAGUGGCGGACGGGUGAGUAAUGUCUGGGAAACUGCCUGAUGGAGGGGGAUAACUACUGGAAACGGUAGCUAAUACCGCAUACCAUCGGAUUUGCCCAGAUGGGAUUAGCUAGUGGGUGGGGUAAAGGCUCACCUAGGCGACGAUCCCUAGCUGGUCUGAGAGGAUGACCAGCCACACUGGAACUUAGACACGGUCCAGAUUCCUACGGGAGGCAGCAGUGGGGAAUAUUGCACAAGGGGCGCAAGCCUGAUGCAGCCAUGCCGCGUGUAUGAAGAAGGCCUUCGGGUUGUAAAGUACUUUCAGCGGGGAGGCGUUACCCGCAGAAGAAGCACCGGCUAACUCCGUGCCAGCAGCCGCGGUAAUUC